rnacentral:rRNA from 1 species
UGGGGAAUAUUGCACAAUGGGCGAAAGCCUGAUGCAGCAACGCCGCGUGAGUGAUGAAGGUCUUCGGAUUGUAAAGCUCUGUCUUUUGGGACGAUAAUGACGGUACCAAAGGAGGAAGCCACGGCUAACUACGUGCCAGCAGCCGCGGUAAUACGUAGGUGGCGAGCGUUGUCCGGAUUUACUGGGCGUAAAGGGUGCGUAGGCGGAUGUUUAAGUGAGAUGUGAAAUACCCGGGCUUAACUUGGGUGCUGCAUUUCAAACUGGAUAUCUAGAGUGCAGGAGAGGAGAAUGGAAUUCCUAGUGUAGCGGUGAAAUGCGUAGAGAUUAGGAAGAACACCAGUGGCGAAGGCGACUCUCUGGACUGUAACUGACGCUGAGGCACGAAAGCGUGGGUAGCAAACAGGAUUAGAUACCCUGGUAGUCCACGCCGUAAACGAUGAGUACUAGGGUGUAGGAGGUAUCGACCCCUUCUGUGCCGCAGUAAACACAUUAAGUACUCCGCCUGGGAAGUACGAUCGCAAGAUUAAAAC